rnacentral:rRNA from 1 species
AUUGAACGCUGGCGGAAUGCUUUACACAUGCAAGUCGAACGGCAGCACGGGGGCAGCCCUGGUGGCGAGUGGCGAACGGGUGAGUAAUACAUCGGAACGUGCCCGGUCGUGGGGGAUAACGUAGCGAAAGUUACGCUAAUACCGCAUACGAUCUGAGGAUGAAAGCGGGGGACCUUCGGGCCUCGCGCGAUCGGAGCGGCCGAUGUCAGAUUAGGUAGUUGGUGGGGUAAAGGCCUACCAAGCCGACGAUCUGCAGCUGGUCUGAGAGGACGACCAGCCACACUGGGACUGAGACACGGCCCAGACUCCUACGGGAGGCAGCAGUGGGGAAUUUUGGACAAUGGGCGCAAGCCUGAUCCAGCCAUUCCGCGUGCAGGACGAAGGCCUUCGGGUUGUAAACUGCUUUUGUACGGAACGAAAAGGCUCUGGCUAAUACCUGGGGCUCAUGACGGUACCGUAAGAAUAAGCACCGGCUAACUACGUG